AUUGAACGCUAGCGGCAUGCCUUACACAUGCAAGUCGAACGGAGUGGCGAACGGGUGAGGAAGGUAACGGAACGGGCCCAUUAGCGGGGGAUAACUACGCGAAAGCGUAGCUAAUACCACAUACUAUUGGAGCGGCCGAUAUCGGAUUAGCUAGGUGGUGUGGUAACGGCUCACCAAGGCGACGAUCCUGAGCUGGUGUGAGAGGACGACCAGCCACACUGGGACGGAGACACGGCCCAGACUCCUACGGGAGGCAGCAGUGGGGAAUUUUGGACAAUGGGGGAAAGCCUGAUCCAGCCAUGCCGCGUGUGCGAAGAAGGCCUUCGGGUUGUAAAGCACUUUUGGCAGGGAAGCGGUACCUGCAGAAUAAGCACCGGCUAACUACGUGCCAGCAGCCGCGGUAAUAC
rnacentral:rRNA from 1 species